rnacentral:sRNA from 1 species
UGCCUAAACUGACGUUUUUCGUCGGCAUGGCGAUAAAAGCCUAUGUACAUGUAAAUGGUCUUCUGAUGACCAGUACUGUACAUAGGUCUAUGCGGGAAACUGCAUAGGGUUCACUCCGAAAGGGGUAGCC